GACGGGGGGGGCAAGUGUUCUUCGGAAUUACUGGGCGUAAAGGGCACGUAGGCGGUGAAUCGGGUUGAAAGUGAAAGUCGCCAAAAAGUGGCGGAAUGCUCUCGAAACCAAUUCACUUGAGUGAGACAGAGGAGAGUGGAAUUUCGUGUGUAGGGGUGAAAUCCGUAGAUCUACGAAGGAACGCCAAAAGCGAAGGCAGCUCUCUGGGUCCCUACCGACGCUGGGGUGCGAAAGCGUGGGGAGCAAACAGG
rnacentral:rRNA from 1 species